UAGUUAUUUUUGACUCCCCUCUUGUCGGAAGAGAACUUCAUAAAUGAUGUCACAAUAAACGGAAUGUGAGAGAAAUCUCAGAAAUGAAAUUUGUAAGGGCAGAGACUGCGGAAGAAGAGAAAGAUCAUCGCCCAGUCUCCUGAGUGCUAAUGAAUUUAUGGGGAAGCAGCGUUAAUGAGUUCCUAGGAAGAGAUGUUGUCAGGGGUUGCAAGCCUUGGAACAACAAUGCUGCCCAAUUUAUUUGGGGAAAAUCUUAAGGUAAACAGGUAAUCCUGGUUGUGCGAGUACUAAGUACAUUCGUCCCCGCUCCAGAUUACCAAGGCCUUCCUCAGUACAUCUCUUACUUCCUUCAUUCUUUCAUUAGGAACCUGUUCAGUAUCCACUGCAUCCCAGAUCCUGUGCUUGGAGUGCGAUGUUGGAGAGCAAAGCCAGAAGAGAUCUCAAGGAGCUUUCAGCCUGGGAAGGGAGGCCAACUCUUACCAAUAGCCGCCAUGUGGACAUCAAUCGUGAUGCUACUCUGAAGACUUUACAGAAGGCAGAUCUCAUGCAGACAUGCUCCCUUCCUCGUAUCUAUGGUACAAGUGUCUCAUCUGCACUCUGUGUCAUCAAGAAUCUACAUGGCCCCCUUUUGAAAUUCAAAGGCGUUAGUAGAGUUAUAGGAAUAAAAUGGAGAGCCUGUCACACAGUGUGUAGAGGAUUGCUGACAUGUACUUUUCCUCUACUCCUGGUAAACUCAUACUUUCUUUUAUGUAUUCAUUUAUUGGACAACAACCUGAGGAGGGGUAACUCUGUGCUGGGCACAGUGCUCGAGAAAUGCACAGACGAUGAUUCCUACUCUGGGGAGCUCAUGGACCAAUGGAAGGUAGACCUGGAAACAAGGAAGUGGAACGACUUCCUUGAAGUGUGAAAUGUCUUGUAUCCAAGGAACAAAGAGAGCGAUGAUGAAAUAUGCUUGGGAUGAUGGGGGAAGGUGUCACAGAGAAAAAAGGUAUCUUCAAGGAGCGUAUAUGGAUUGGGGACAGGCAAGAGGGUAUUUCACCCGGAAGGGCCAGCAUAUAUAAGGUAUGAAGGAGUGCAACGACAGGGCUUAUUUGGGAAACCCCAUGUAAGAACUUGGUGCCAUCACUAGAAAUUAAUGUUACCCAAUAAUAUAGGAAUUUCAUUGGUCCUGAUGGGCAUGGAGGUCAAAGAGAAAGGAUUUUACUUCUCACCCAUCAUUCCAGG
rnacentral:lncRNA from 1 species